rnacentral:misc_RNA from 1 species
CGAUGUGGAGGGCGCCGCCCUCAUACGCGGGUCUCAUAUCCCCCUCCACACUUAUUCGGCGUCAUUGCGGCGCUCUUGUAGCCACAGCGCAGGUGUGCGCAUCUCGUGCAGCGAGCAGCGGCGGCAUGGGCAUUGACGCGGGUGAGAGCGCCAUCGGCGUAGACGCAGUGGCGCGGCCGAUAGGCUACGGUCCCUUCAGUGCUGCUGCCAAGACUCGACUGGCUUGCGAGAAGGCACACAAAGCCGUAGAGACGUGCGACAGUGCAGCUGCGGCCGCGUCGGCGACUGUCAUGAACAACGUCACUCUCGACACAAACCUGUACCUCCGCUUGUCCCUCGCUGGCCUCCCGCACCCGUCCCAGCUGCAAGAGUGGGCGUACAUGUCACCUGAGUGGCGCUUGGCUUUUGUGCGCCUCUACCGCACCAUUCUACGCCUGCACAACAAGGCAGUGGCGGUGUCGCUGCGCACGGCGCGCAGGCAAGGGUCGGAGGCGGCCUUGUCCGCCGCCACCGGGGUGCACGCAACCUCGCAGACCUCCGUGGCUGGCGCCGCCGUCGCUGCCACGGAGGUCGACAACAGCCUGGCCGAGGACAAGGACGACUACUUCCUCCGUUACCUCCUCACACCAGACCAACAAGAGUUCGGCAACCGCUUCGUCCAGGGAGAGUUUGCGCGCCACAUGGACGCCGACGCGGUGGCGGCGGCCAUCUUCUACGCGUCGUGGUACGAGUACGUGCUGCAGCUCGCCUCCGGCGUGACGGCGCGCGAGAUGACAGAGAAGGAGAAGCGGCUCUUGACGGAUGAGCAGAAGGAGACGCUGAACUCGCUGCGUGGUGCCUUCUUCGGCCUCCGCGCCUCUCAGCAGCCCAAAUACAUGCCGUAGGCGUCAAGGCUGUGUGUGCGUGUCUGGGUGUCUCUUGGUGUAUCGGUGUGUGUCUGUCUCUCUGUCUGCGUGUAUGCCUCGGGUUGAUAAGGUUGAUUUUGCAUCAUCGGUCAAGGGACGCAGAGCCAGGUGGAGCACCUUUGCUUCAUGUGAAGGUGCACCGGAUGGCAUGACCGCGCAUGUGCCGACAUGUGUAUCUGUAUGCGCAUGCUGUGCUGCCGCCUCUCGUACGCAUGCGAACUCGCAUGGACCGUCGUGCUGCGCGAGACUUUGGAGGAGUCAUGGAAUGAGUUUGUCCAUGCUUUUUAGCUGCAUCACACCCUGUCCACUCAUCCUUGCGUGUCUUUUAUGCCCCCCCCUCUGACUCCCUCUCUGGACAUCACGCGCCACACGCAC